rnacentral:misc_RNA from 1 species
ACAAAUUUUCAGUUGCCUUUGGUCAACUGGUCAUGAGCUUGGGCUCCCUUUGCGGGACCCGGCUUUAAAUUUGCACGCUCUGCGGGCCUGGCUCCCCUCAAAACAUAGUAAUAUUCUUGCUGACUGCUUUGUGAGGUUGCCCAGGCUUCCGCCUGAACAAGCUUUUUUCUA